ACAACAAAAAGCGCUUUCAAAGGCAAAUUACAAGAGAACGCAGAGAAUACACAAAUGAAAUAUCACAAGUCCAAUAACAUUCAACCAAAUAUCAAGAUCGAUACAAAAUAAUCUUGAAAACGAGAUUGACUAUGAAAGGCACCGAAAGGUCACACGUUUCCUGCUUUCCUUCUCCCCGAGUGGCAGCUCUCCUACUGCAGGAAUGUCGGAGAGUAUCGGAAAGGACAGGAAGCAAGUGCACCUGCAUAUUGAGAUGAUUAUGGGCAUAUUUACUUUAUUAUUAGCUGUUAAUGAGUCUGAUUAAAAUCAAGACAAGACAAAGAUGACGUUUAAGCGAAUCACAAUGCGUUGCUCCGCCUCACAGCAACAUACGACUUCCGUUGUGCAUGUUUGAUGUCACUACUUAAGAAAGGCCGCUCCCCCUCAGCGACAAGUCAGCAUUUAUGCAGACGGCGAAUGCAGACAUGAGUCGGGCGCUUGUAUGUGCGCUGACUGCUGCUUGGAGCCUGGGAAUCAGCGGCCAGACGGUGCACCAGCCAGAACGGGAAGUCCACGCCUUCGAGGGUGGAGCAGUGACGCUCGGCUGCAGCUCCGACAGUUCGAUGUCCAGGGACUUCAUCUUCUGGUACAAACAAGAAGUGAACUCACUGCCGGACUUCAUCCUGAGCAAAGAUCUGUUCCGUUCCGGCAAGAAGGGAGUAAAGUACAGUGAAAGGUUUCACUGCAGCAUGAAUGCCAGCGCUCGGCAAGCUCCUCUGCAUAUCGAACGCGUGAAGCCCAGCGACUCGGGAGUCUUCUACUGCGCCCUGCAGCCCACGCUGACACAUUCACUGGCGUGCCUGCACAAAAACACCUGCACCCGCCUCAUCUCAUGAGUGACAUUGGGGGCGUGGCCUCACCGGAGUCCAAGACGUCUAACUGUGGCAGAGCUGCAACUCAGCGUGUCAACAGACUCAUUCCGUGCUCGAGGAUGACAUUGUCUUGUCUCGUUUUUUAAUCUGCUAUGUGGUGGGCCUCAUACUGUGUGUGCUCUUGAAUUUAUUUAAUCUGAUACUACAUGUUGAUUUCGGUUCCUCAUUUCUCUUCAGUUAUGUUGACAGUGCAGCUCAGACUUCAAUAAGGAGGCCAGCGACAACUGACGCUGCUCACCAGUUUGGGGCAAACAUCUUGGCAAAUGUCGCAGGCUACGCUAGAAUAAAAUGGUGAAAGUAGCAAAACUACAGUGAAAUAUUACACAUACACUGUCCACAUGAAUCCUUUAGGCCACUGUCACGGACUGAGUAUGACUGACCUACAUUCAAUGUUCUGGUAACCCCUGUUGCGAUCACGUGACUCAGAGCCCAUC